UACGUAGGGGGCAAGUGUUGUCCGGAAUCAUUGGGCGUAAAGAGCGUGUAGGCGGCCCGAUAAGUCCGCUGUGAAAGUCCAGGGCUCAACCCUGGAAUGCCGGUGGAUACUGUCGGGCUCGAAUCCGGAAGAGGUGAGUGGAAUUCCUGGUGUAGCGGUGGAAUGCGCAGAUAUCAGGAAGAACACCAACGGCGAAGGCAGCUCGCUGGGACGGUACUGACGCUGAGACGCGAAAGCGUGGGGAGCGAACAGG
rnacentral:rRNA from 1 species